rnacentral:rRNA from 1 species
ACACCGGCAGCCCGAGUGGUGGCCACUAUUAUUGGGCCUAAAGCGUCCGUAGCCGGUCCGGUAAGUCCCUGUGGAAAUCCUCAGGCUCAACCUGAGGAAAUGCGGGGAUACUGCCGGACUCGGGGCCGAGAGACGCGGAGGGUACUCCAGGGGUAGCGGUGAAAUGCUGUAAUCCCUGGGGGACCACCAGUGGCGAAGGCGCUCCGCGAGAACGGGCCCGACGGUGAGGGACGAAAGCCAGGGGAGCGAACGGGAUUAGAAACCCUAGUAGUCC